AGCAGCCGCGGUAAUUCCAGCUCCAAUAGCGUAUAUUAAAGUUGUUGCAGUUAAAAAGCUCGUAGUUGAAUUUCGGGGUCUGUCCGUCGGUCGGGCUUUACGGUCCGUACUGGUGUGAUGGGUUCCUACCUUCUAAAUAACCGGCAUGCCAUUCAUUUGGUGCGCCGGGGAAGCAGAGCUAUUACCUUGAAAAAAUUAGAGUGCUUAAAGCAGGCUAGUGCUCGAAUAGAUUAGCAUGGAAUAAUAAAAUAGGACGGCAUGGUUCUAUUUUGUUGGUUUCUAGGAUCACCGUAAUGAUUAAUAGGGAUAGUUGGGGGCAUUAGUAUUCAAUUGUCAGAGGUGAAAUUCUUGGAUUUAUUGAAGACUAACUUCUGCGAAAGCAUUUGCCAAGGAUGUUUUCAUUAAUCAAGAACGAAAGUUAGGGGAUCGAAGACGAUCAGAUACCGUCGUAGUCUUAACCAUAAACUAUGCCGACUAGGGAUCGGACGAUGUUAAUUUUUAAUGACUCGUUCGGCGCCUU
rnacentral:rRNA from 1 species